rnacentral:rRNA from 1 species
UACGUAGGCAGCAAGCGUUGUUCGGAAUUACUGGGCGUAAAGAGUUCGUAGGCGGUGCGGCAAGUUCGGUGUGAAAUCUCCCGGCUCAACUGGGAGGGUGCGCUACAUACUGCCGUGCUCGAGUAUAGGAGAGGUAAGCGGAAUUCCUGGUGUAGCGGUGAAAUGCGUAGAUAUCAGGAGGAACACCUGUGGUGAAGACGGCUUACUGGACUAUAACUGACGCUGAGGAACGACAGCGUGGGUAGCAAACAGG